AUUAAAUGAGAGUUUGAUCCUGGCUCAGGACGAACGCUGGCGGCGUGCCUAAUACAUGCAAGUGGGACGCAAGAG
rnacentral:rRNA from 1 species